rnacentral:sRNA from 1 species
GAGAAUAUACUCCCUGAUCCCUGGGCCACAAUAGAACAGUUGAAACAAAAAGCAGAUAAGAGAGUCAGAAGUGUUCGCUAUAAAGUAAUAGAAGAUUAUAGUGGUGCCUGCUGCCCUCUGAAUAAAGGAAUCAAAACCUUCUUCACAAGCCCCUGCACCGAAGAGCCUCGAAUACAGCUGCAAAAAGGGGAAUUCAUUUUAGCCACAAGAGGUUUACGAUACUGGUUAUAUGGAGACAAAAUUCUUGAUGAUUCCUUUAUAGAAGGUGUUUCAAGAAUAAGGGGAUGGUUCCCUAGAAAAUGUGUGGAAAAGUGUCCCUGUGAUGCUGAAACAGAUCAAGCCCCAGAGG